rnacentral:pre_miRNA from 1 species
AAUUAAAAAUUUAAUCCAUUUAUAUUGUUAAAACUAAUAUGGCUGACAGAAUAACCAGAUAAUGACACAUGGCAUGCCACAUAUACCUUAUGCUGACAUAUAAGGACAAAUUUCUAAUAGUGAAAAUAGAUAGAAUUUUUAAUA